ACCCCUGUAGCUCAGCAGGAUAGAGCGGCGGUUUCCUAAACCGCAGGUCACCCGUUCGAGUCGGGUCAGGGGUA
rnacentral:tRNA from 1 species